rnacentral:rRNA from 1 species
CUUGAACUUUAUAAGAGGUCCAGCCUGCCCAGUGACUCUGUUCAACGGCCGCGGUAUCCUAACCGUGCGAAGGUAGCGUAAUCACUUGUUCUUUAAAUGCGGACUAGUAUGAAUGGCACUACGAGGGUUAUACUGUCUCCUUUUUCUAAUCAGUGAAACUAAUUUUCCCGUGAAGAAGCGGGGAUAUAACUAUAAGACGAGAAGACCCUAUGGAGCUUUAAACAACCCAGCAAUUACUUCUAAAAUUGUAAAUUUCGGAAUAUUCAUUUCUUAAGUAAUAUGUCUGCAAGUUUUUGGUUGGGGUGACCAUGGAGAAUAACAUAACCUCCAUAUUGAAUGAAUUCCCUUCUAAGCUGAAAAUUACCAAUUGAAGCAUCAACAUACUGACAUCUAUUGACCCA